GCCGGUGUAGCUCAGUGGUAGAGCAGGUUCUUCAUAAGGACAAGGUCGCAGGUCCGAGUCCUGCCACCGGCA
rnacentral:tRNA from 1 species